rnacentral:rRNA from 1 species
UACGUAGGGGGCAAGCGUUGUCCGGAUUUAUUGGGCGUAAAGCGCUCGCAGGUGGUUCAUUGCGUCGUGCGUGAAAGACCCCGGCUCAACUGGGGAGGUCGUGCGAAACGGGUGAACUAGAGGCCAGUAGGGGGAUGGCGAAUUCCGGGUGUAGUGGUGGAAUGCGUAGAGAUCCGGAGAACACCAGCGGCGAAGGCGGCAUCCUGGACUGGUCCUGACACUCAGGAGCGAAAGCGUGGGGAGCGAUCCGG